UAUGAAUAUCAAUAUGUAUUUACAAGGAAAAUUUCUUCUGUCCUUUGUAUAGGACCUGGAAACCCGACCCAUCAUAUAAAACUUUAGGGAAAACAUCACCUACUGCCCAUCCAACCUAAUUUUAUUACGAGCCUAUACCCCUUCUGAAAGUAUUUUCGCUUAUGCCCAACCCAUUUGAAAAAUAUAACCUAAACGUGCCCCCUCCUAAUUAGCACCUAUGCUGCCCAACUAACCUAACUCGGCCCUAAUCGCUAUUCUUCACUUUGCCACGUUUGUUCAUGCUCAUUUUUUCAGGUGGAGUUUUGAAAUUGACAAAAGGGAGAGUUGGUUGCAUCAGAUAACUUUCAUUAAUGGGUUCAUUGAUUCUUAUCCUUCUUUUUUGUUUUAUUUAAUGGUUUAUUUCAUAUAAGAUCCUAGUUUUACAGAGUUUUUGGCAACAGUUGUUUCUAAAAAAUUUCAAAAUCGUUACUUUUGAUAUUUUUUUCCAUGUUUUUUGCUCCUUUUUACUGUGUUGUUUUUUUGUUGGUUGUUUUUUAUGGGUCGUAAGCAUGUUACAUCUCAAUGGAGGGGCCAUCAUUGAGUUCUUACUGAGGUUGUUGAAUCUUUAGACGAAGGUGUAGGUAUAGAAGACUCUAUUUCUUCAAGGAUCUCGGUCCCAAAUUUUUCAUUGCACCUUGGUGACUCGCCGUCAGUUUCUAUGGGUAGCCCUAAACUGAAUCAGGGUGACCCAAAACCCAAACACUCAGGGGAUGCUGAUGAAGCAGUGACGGAUAAAAAUGUUGAGAAUGUUAAAAGAAAAGGGAAGGAACAAGUAGUGCAUGAUGGUUCAGUUGAUGAGAAUGUGAGGAAUAAAAGAAAAAAGACCGUUGAAUCACAAGAUAUUCCUUAUGAAUCAAUUCCUGAAACAACACCCGAUACAACCCUUGCAACCCCUGAAAAUUUGAUGAUAUUAAGGUUGGUGAUUUUUAUAUAAAGAUGGAUAUUGACUAUAAGCCAAAGAUUGAGUGCAGCACGAACUGCAAUAUUAUUGGUGAUCUGCAUGACAAGUUGUUGACUAAGAAGCUUGCGCUGUUUAGAGAUACCUGUUUUGGGUAUUUCUUAGACAUACCUCUAAUUAUGGUACAGGGGUGAGUAUUGCACAAUCUGUUGAUGAGGGAGGUGCAUUUCUUGGAAGAUGAUGCACUGCACUUUGUGGUGAGUGGUGCCAAGCUGCAUUUUGGGUUGGGUGAGUUUGGUCUUGUUACGAGGUUAAAAUAUAAAGAUGGUACAUCUAUCACGGUCAAAUCAGUGCCCAAUCGGUUGGUGAAAAAGUACUUUAAGAGUUCAGCCAAUGACAUAAGGUCAGUUGGAGCAAUGUUUUAAUAAAAAAAUUUGGAGGUCCGAUGCUGACGCGGUGAAGAUAGUAGUUUUGUACUUUGUAAACACGUUCUUGUUUGCUACGUUGAAGACCAAAGUUGUUGGUAUGGGGUACUUUGAUUUGGUUGAGAGUGGUGAGUUCAAUAACUAUCCAUGGGGAUAGACGUGUUUAAGGCAAAUAUUGAAUCGUGCUCGAACAAGUUCAAGACAAAGCCUUCGUUUAUCGACAUGGUGGAUUUCCUCUUUCAUUACGGAUCUGACUGUACGAGUGCUGCCCAACUUUGGGAAGUCGUUUUGCCAAGCAUGCCUUUGGCCUGACCCGUCGUAUUCUAGACUGGAAGAUAGAUAUAUUUGUCUUAUAACCUGAUCAGUUGAGGAAUGUCUUUCCAACCGAGGACGAGAGGUUGGUAUUAGACUUAGAUAGAUUACCAUUUGAUUGCCCUUGAGCCUUCUCAAAGUCAACGUUUCAGCGAUGGAUUCUUUUGCACACAAGCGCCAACGGGAGAUAUAGGUCAGAGUAGUCGUGGUGAUGGUGAAUCUAGCAAUGCUGUUUUGAAGAAGGAGUUAGAGGCGUAUCGACUUCAUGUUGAUUCAAAGUUUGGAGAGAUCCUUAAAGCUAUUGGGUAUCUGAACAAGAAAGUAGAUGCAAACCCUGAUUUGCCGGAGAAAAAGAAGGAUGAGUGUGCUUACUCUGGUGGGGCACAUACAGAUUUAAUAAUUUGGCUAUGGAUUUCAACCAAGAAACGGGAGAUGUUCGAGGGGGGGGGGGGGGAGGGAGGGGGGUUAAUGACACUGUGAAGGAUGGUAUAGGAGGUAUUGACACUGUGAGUGUUAGCAAGGAGACAGUUGGUAAAAAAAUCGAUUCUCAGAUUGGGUUUUUUUAUCUCCAUGAGUUAGUCGGCUAUGCUGCCAUUACACAGAAUAACGAGAAGAAUAAAAAAGGUCGAAAUGAGCAGACAGCUGAGCUGAAAACAGAUCAUGCAAAUUUGUUGGAUGAUGAUGAUUUUUCGCAUAUGAGUGAGUCUGAGAUAGCAGCGAUCAUACAAUAUGCUAAAGUUGGUGCUGCUGCAGCAAGUAAAGUGAUAGAAGAUGAUCAAUGUACCAAAGAUGAAUGUCAAGAGACCCUUACCGCUGAUGCAAUUGUAGAUGAUCAAGCUAGAGAUGCUGUGUUACCUCAUGGAGAAGGUGUUGUUGAUAAAGGCGCAAAUGCCGCUAAUGAGUCUGUUGUUUCCGCAGUGAGGGGAGAUGAUAUUACGCAGCCAGAUUUUUCAUGUGGUAGUGGAGGUUCCUUCUAAGUUAACGGAGGCUAUUCAAGAUUCUGAAGUUGGUCCGUCGGGGGUACAAGGUGCUGUUACUGAUUCUGAAGAAGAAGCCCUUACAUUUGUGAUUCCGCCAGGCACCUCCAUAUUGGAGAUAGAUGAUGAGAAGACAACACAUGUAGUUUCUCGGAGGGGUAGGCCAAGAUGGCCAGCUAAGGACAAACAGUCAUCAUUUGUGGCUGGUUCUGGCCUUAGCACUGUGGGUGAAACACCACCGAAGCUUGUGAAAGGCAAGUCUUUAUUGAUUCCGAGUAUAACAAUUCCUGUUCAAUACAGCCUUAUGCAAAAGUUCUCAAAGUUCAUUGAUAAAGAUAUGAUCACGUGCCCACAAUUGACUUUUGUACAAUCAGAACUGAUAUUGCACUUAAAAACGGUGUUCACCGGGGUCAUCAGUUAAGCGAUCCAUUAGAUAUGAUAUUGGUUGAUAAUCUGUCAAAACAAAGUAACUUAGAUUGUGGUAUUUUUAUGGCUCUUUUUGCGGAGUACUUGAUUGAAAACAUUCAAAUCCCUGUUGAGAAUGUGAUAUUAUUUUGGCAUUAUGGGAGACAGAAGCAAGAGAAGAAUGAAUACAGUGAAUCUGAGAAUCUUGGAAGGUGAGGAAACUAAUAAGUGGAAAGAAGAAGACGAAAAAGACUUAGUACUAUGUUUUGUGUUUUUUCACGGUUAAGUUUUUGUUGCCAUAUGAAAAUUUAAGACUUUAGUAUGUCGUAGUAAUCGGUGAAGCGAAUAUGUGUUGUUUUUAGAUAUGAAGACUUUUGUUUUUGAAAUAGUAUGUUUGGUAUGUGUUAGAUUUGAAUGAUAUUUUGUUGUUAUUAAAAAUCUCUGUCUUUUAAAGUUUUAUUAUUA